rnacentral:rRNA from 1 species
CGACACCGCGUGAAGGAUGAAGGAUUUGUUUCUGUAAACUUCUUUUCUGUGGGACGAUAAUGACGGUACCACAGGAAUAAGGGACGGCUAACUACGUGC